ACUGCCCAGUAACAGUGAAGAAGGGGAAGGGGAAACGGAGCAGCAUUCUCUCUGGGGCCCUUAUGGCAUGUGGCAAAAGUAGUGACAAUCUUCACCAGGCAAGAAUAUCACGGCAUGGGCAUGAGUAGCUUGAAACUGCUGAAGUAUGUCCUGUUUUUCUUCAACUUGCUCUUUUGGAUCUGUGGCUGCUGCAUUUUGGGCUUUGGGAUCUACCUGCUGAUCCACAACAAUUUCGGAGUGCUCUUCCAUAACCUCCCCUCCCUCACGCUGGGCAAUGUGUUUGUCAUCGUGGGCUCUAUUAUCAUGGUAGUUGCCUUCCUGGGCUGCAUGGGCUCUAUCAAGGAAAACAAGUGUCUGCUUAUGUCGGUGUUGGGGAUGUCCUUUGCACUGACCCUGAACUGCCAGAUUGACAAAACCAGCCAGACCAUAGGGCUAUGAUCUGCAGUGGUCCUGUGGUGAAGAGACUUGUUUCAUCUAUGGAAAUGCAAAACCAUUUAUAGCAUGAAGCCCUACAUGAUCACUGCGGGAUGAUCCUCCUCCCAUCCUUUCCCUUUUUAGGUCCCUGUCUUAUACAACCAGAGAAGUGGGUGUUGGCCAGGCAUAUCCCAUCUCAGGCAGCAAGACAAUCUUUCACUCACUGAUGGCAGCAGCCAUGUCUCUCAAAGUGGUGAAACUAAUAUCUGAGCAUCUUUUAGACAAGAGAGGCAAAGAGAAACUGGAUCUAAUGGCCCAACAUCAAAGGGUGAACCCAGGAUAU
rnacentral:sRNA from 1 species